rnacentral:lncRNA from 1 species
CAUUAUCAUAUAUGCUGUAUAUGCUGUUUAUGUCACUUCUUUUAGAACAACAUAAAGAAAGAGAUGGACAGCAAAUUCAAUGUGAUUAGUGUCUCAUGAAUCUUAAAAAUUCUUGUAAAUAACAGUUGAUAACUGUACAUGCCUGUACCAAGUCAGGAAUAUGACAGUUGUUGUCCAUUCAUUCGAUGUGUUUGAGCUUUUGAAUUUGAAAAGGGACUUUUUUACUUUUCCCAAAGAUAAAAUAUGUCAAAAACAGUGAACACAAUAAGUUUCAAGAAACAGAUAACAGGAAUCCCAUUUAAAAAAAAAACAGUUAACAACAUUGCAAAUUUUAGCAGAUCAGAUAACAGUCAGUGGGUUGAAAACAGUUAACAGUUUAAUUUUAUCUCAAAUAACAGUUAACAACACCUUAAAAAAGACCAAAACAAUAACUUAAAGAAUUCUGUCCCAAAUAUAUAGGCCAAAAAAACCUACUACCAUAUGCAAGUACUAAGAAACUGCAUAUGACACAGAUGAAUUUUUGCUACUGAUAUAAACAUGAACGUUACUGUGUAAUACAUAACAUACAUGUUUAUUUAAUCUUAUCUAUAUUUUGUGGUUAAUAUGAGUGUUUACAUAUUACUACUUUUAUCUAAUUUUUCAUUGUCAAAUUUUAUACAGGGAAUAUUGCAUUUAUGCAUACAUCUAUAUACAUG